UGGCUCAGUGGUUAAGAGCACUGACUGCUCUUCCAGAGGACCUGGGUUCAAAUCCCAG
rfam:Mesocricetus auratus contig001529, whole genome shotgun sequence.